GCAAACUUGGUCAUUUAGAGGAAGUAAAAGUCGUAACAAGGUCUCCGUUGGUGAACCAGCGGAGGGAUCAUUAUUGAGUUUACAAUACUCCUAAACCCCUGUGAACAUACCUAUCGUUGCCUCGGCGGGAUCGCCCCGGCGCCCCCCGGGCCCGGAUCCAGGCGCCCGCCGGAGGACCCAAACCUCUGUAUUAAUUCUAUAUCUUCUGAGUGGCACAAGCAAAUAAAUUAAAACUUUCAACAACGGAUCUCUUGGCUCUGGCAUCGAUGAAGAACGCAGC
rnacentral:misc_RNA from 1 species